rnacentral:rRNA from 1 species
CCUACGGGAGGCAGCAGUGGGGAAUAUUGCACAAUGGGGGAAACCCUGAUGCAGCGACGCCGCGUGAGGGAAGAAGUAUUUCUGUAUGUAAAGCUCUGUCUGCAAGGGAGCAAAUGACGGUACCUGACCAAUAAGCCCCGGCUAACUACGUGCCGGCAGCCGCGGUCAUACGUAGGGAGCAGGCGUUAUCCGGAUUUACUGGGUGUAAAGGGAGCUUAGACGGAAGGGCAAGUCUGGAGGGAAAGGCGGGGGCUCAACCCCCGGACUGCUCUGGAAACUGCCAGGCUGGAGUGCAGGAGAGGUAAGUGGAAUGCGUGGUGUAGCGGUGAAAUGCGUAGAUAUUAGGAGGAACACCAGUGGCGAAGGCGGCUUACUGGACUGUAACUGACGUUGAGGCACGAAAGCGUGGGGAGCAAACAGGAUUAGAUACCCGAGUAGUC